rnacentral:rRNA from 1 species
UGGGGAAUAUUGGACAAUGGGCGAAAGCCUGAUCCAGCCAUGCCGCGUGUGUGAAGAAGGUCUUCGGAUUGUAAAGCACUUUAAGUUGGGAGGAAGGGCAGUAAGCGAAUACCUUGCUGUUUUGACGUUACCGACAGAAUAAGCACCGGCUAACUCUGUGCCAGCAGCCGCGGUAAUACAGAGGGUGCAAGCGUUAAUCGGAAUUACUGGGCGUAAAGCGCGCGUAGGUGGUUGGUUAAGUUGAAUGUGAAAGCCCCGGGCUCAACCUGGGAACUGCAGCCAAAACUGGCGAGCUAGAGUAGGGCGGAUGGUGGUGGAAUUUCCUGUGGAGCGGUGAAAUGCGUGGAUAUAGGAAGGAACACCAGUAGCGAAGGCGGCCACCUGGGCUCAUACUGACACUGAGGUGCGAAAGCGUGGGGAGCAAACAGG